rnacentral:misc_RNA from 1 species
GAAAUGCGAUAAGUAAUGUGAAUUGCAGAAUUCCGUGAAUCAUCGAAUCUUUGAACGCACAUUGCGCCCUCUGGUAUUCCGGGGGGCAUGCCUGUCCGAGCGUCAUUUACAACCCUCAAGCGCGGCUUGUGUGAUGGGUGCCGUCCCUCUAGGGACGCGCCCCGAAGGCAACGGCGGCGUCGCGGUUAUCCGUUCAGCCAAAGUGUAUGGGGCUCUGUCACUCACUUUGCGGCACGGACCGGCGCUUGCCACAACUAUCAACUUUCUAAGGUUGACCUCGGAUCAGGUAGGGAUACCCGCUGAACUUAA